AUACUUACCUGGACGGGAUCAAUGGGUGAUCACUAAGGCCUAUGUCCUAAGCUGGUGUGACCUCCAUUGUACUUUGGAGGCUUGCCCACUUAAGGUCUCCCCACGUGGCAGAGCCUACGUCGUUAUUUGUUCUUGUGAGGGGCUUCCCCACU
rnacentral:snRNA from 1 species